AGUGAACGCUGGCGGUAGGCCUAACACAUGCAAGUCGAACGGCAGCACAGUAAGAGCUUGCUCUUACGGGUGGCGAGUGGCGGACGGGUGAGGAAUACAUCGGAAUCUACUUUUUCGUGGGGGAUAACGUAGGGAAACUUACGCUAAUACCGCAUACGACCUACGGGUGAAAGCAGGGGAUCUUCGGACCUUGCGCGAUUGAAUGAGCCGAUGUCGGAUUAGCUGGUUGGCGGGGGAAAGGCCCACCAAGGCGACGAUCCGUAGCUGGUCUGAGAGGAUGAUCAGCGACAGUGGAGCUGACAUGCGAUACAGACACCUACGGGAGGCAGCAAUGGGGAAUAUUGGAAAAAGGGAGCAAGCUUGAACCAGCCAUACCGCGUGGAUGAAGAAGGCCUGCGGGUUGUAAAGCCGUUUUGUUGGGAAAGAAAGGCAGCAGGUUAAAACCCCGCUGUUCGGCAGGUACCGAAAGAAUAGGAACGGGCUAACUUCGG
rnacentral:rRNA from 1 species